GUGUCAGCAGCCGCGGUAAUACGUAGGGACCAAGCGUUGUUCGGAUUUACUGGGCGUAAAGGGCGCGUAGGCGGCGUGUUAAGUCAGCUGUGAAAUCUCCGAGCUUAACUCGGAACGGUCAGCUGAUACUGAUGUGCUAGAGUGCAGAAGGGGCAAUCGGAAUUCUUGGUGUAGCGGUGAAAUGCGUAGAUAUCAAGAGGAACACCUGAGGUGAAGACGGGUUGCUGGGCUGACACUGACGCUGAGGCGCGAAAGCUAGGGUAGCAAACGGGAUUAGAUACCCCGGUAGUCCUAGCCCUAAACGAUGAAUACUUGGUGUCUGGAGUAAUUUAAUUCUCCGGGUGCCGUCGCUAACGUUUUAAGUAUUCCGCCUGGGGAGUACGCACGCAAGUGUGAA
rnacentral:rRNA from 1 species